rnacentral:rRNA from 1 species
CGAGCGAACGGGGACGAGCCUAAACCUGUGUUGUGUAAGCCUGCAGGCGUUGCAGCACGGGGGUCGUGGGACCGUCUAUCGAGACCUGCAGAGCUCGAGCGGAGUUACAAAACGUCGACUUAGAAGAACCGUCUGGAAAGGCGGGCCAUAGAGGGUGAGAGCCCCGUAAACGAAAAGUCUGGCGACUCCGAGACGGCACCCGAGUACCGCGGGACACGAGAAACCCUGUGGGAAUCUGGGAGGACCAUCUUCCAAGGCUAAAUACUACCGUGACGGACCGAUAGUGGACGAGUACCGCGAGGGAAAGGUGAAAAGCACCCCGACGAGGGAGUGAAAUAGACCCUGAAACCAUGUGCCUACAAGCAGUUCGAGCCCUAUGGCCGCAAGGCAAAGGGUGAGAGCGUGCCUUUUGCAUAAUGAGCCUGCGAGUUGUCCUACGUAGCAAGGUUAAGCCGAGAGGUGUAGCCGCAGCGAAAGCGAGUCUGAUAAGGGCGCUUAGUUGCGUGGGCAGACCG